GACGAAGGAUGCAAGCGUUAAUCGGAAUUACUGGGCGUAAAGCGUGCGCAGGCGGUUGUGCAAGACCGAUGUGAAAUCCCCGGGCUUAACCUGGGAAUGGCAUUGGUGACUGCACGGCUAGAGUGUGUCAGAGGGGGGUAGAAUUCCACGUGUAGCAGUGAAAUGCGUAGAGAUGUGGAGGAAUACCGAUGGCGAAGGCAGCCCCCUGGGAUAACACUGACGCUCAUGCACGAAAGCGUGGGGAGCAAACAGG
rnacentral:rRNA from 1 species